AACGAACGCUGGCGGCAGGCUUAACACAUGCCAGUCGAGCGCCCCGCAAGGGGAGCGGCAGACGGGUGAGUAACGCGUGGGAACGUACCUUUUGGUUCGGAACAACUCCGGGAAACUGGAGCUAAUACCGGAUAAGCCCUAACGGGGAAAGAUUUAUCGCCGAAAGAUCGGCCCGCGUCUGAUUAGCUAGUUGGUGAGGUAACGGCUCACCAAGGCGACGAUCAGUAGCUGGUCUGAGAGGAUGAUCAGCCACACUGGGACUGAGACACGGCCCAGACUCCUACGGGAGGCAGCAGUGGGGAAUAUUGGACAAUGGGCGCAAGCCUGAUCCAGCCAUGCCGCGUGAGUGAUGAAGGCCUUAGGGUUGUAAAGCUCUUUUGUCCGGGAAGAUAAUGACUGUACCGGAAGAAUAAGCCCCGGCUAACUUCGU
rnacentral:rRNA from 1 species